UAGACGUGGAUUUCCGCUUAGUGGCAAACGGGUGAGUAACACGUGGGUUACCUACCUCUAAGUUGGGGAUAACAGUUGGAAACGAUUGCUAAUACCGAAUGUGUUCUACGGAAUAAAGGAGCCCUUAAAGCUCCGCUUAGAGAUGGGCCUGCGGCGUAUAGCUAGUUGGUGGGGUAACGGCCUACCAAGGCAACGAUGCGUAGCCGAACUGAGAGGUUAAUCGGCCACACUGGGACUGAGACACGGCCCAGACUCCUACGGGAGACAGCAGUUAGGAAUAUUCGUCAAUGGGGGAAACCCUGAACGAGCAAUGCCGCGUGAGUGAUGACGGCCCUCUGGGUUGUAAAACUCUGUUGUUUGGAAAGAAUUGUUAGAGAAGGAAAUGUCUUUAACUUGACGGUACCAUUCAAGAAAGCCACGGCUAACUACGUGCCAGCCGCCGC
rnacentral:rRNA from 1 species